rnacentral:tRNA from 1 species
UCCCCAGUAGCUCAGUGGCAGAGCAGACGGCUGUUAACCGUCUUGUCGCUGGUUCGAAUCCGGCCUGGGGAGCCA